UACGUAGGGUGCGAGCGUUAAUCGGAAUUACUGGGCGUAAAGCGUGCGCAGGCGGCGCCGCAAGUCGAGUGUGAAAUCCCUCGGCUUAACCGGGGAACUGCGUUUGAUACUGGAUGGCUUGAGUUUGGGAGAGGGAUGCGGAAUUCCAGGUGUAGCGGUGAAAUGCGUAGAUAUCAGGAGGAACACCUGCGGUGUAGACGGCUUACUGGACCAUAACUGACGCUGAGGCACGAAAGCGUGGGUAGCAAACAGG
rnacentral:rRNA from 1 species